rnacentral:misc_RNA from 1 species
GUUCUUAUGGGCUCUUUUCUUGAUCGCUUUAACGGCCUCCUAUUUGAGUUUCCAAUCCUUCGUCGACUCCGGUAGCCGAUAUUUCUCCGCCUCUUGGGGCGGCAUCCAAUGGGAAAAACAAGUCCGUAACUCUGCUCAAUCUCACCGUCCCAACGGCCUUUCCGUCCUCGUCACCGGCGCUUCUGGUUUCGUGGGUUCACACGUGUCCCUCGCCUUAAAGAAACGCGGUGACGGCGUUGUUGGUCUUGACAAUUUCAAUUCUUAUUAUGACCCUUCAUUGAAAAAGGCACGGAAAUCCCUUCUCUCUAAUCACGGGAUUUUCGUUGUGGACGGAGAUUUAAACGACGUUAGAUUAUUGGAUAAACUCUUCGACGUCGUCGUUUUUACUCACGUCAUGCAUUUGGCAGCACAAGCUGGAGUUCGCUACGCUAUGGAAAAUCCUCAUUCGUAUGUUCAUAGUAAUAUUGCCGGUUUAGUUACGCUUCUCGAGGCUUGUAAAUCGGCGAACCCACAACCCGCUGUGGUUUGGGCUUCUUCUAGUUCGGUUUAUGGGCUCAAUGAGAAAGUCCCUUUUUCCGAAUCGGACCGAACCGAUCAACCCGCGAGUCUUUACGCGGCUACGAAAAAGGCCGGAGAGGAAAUUACGCAUACAUAUAAUCAUAUCUAUGGAUUGUCGAUUACCGGGUUGAGGUUUUUUACGGUGUAUGGACCGUGGGGAAGACCGGAUAUGGCGUAUUUUUCGUUUACGAGGAAUAUUUUACAAGGGAAGCCGAUUACGGUUUUUCGGGGGAAGAACCGGGUGGAUUUGGCGAGGGAUUUUACUUACAUUGAUGAUAUUGUGAAAGGGUGUUUGGGGUCGUUGGAUACGUCGGGAAAGAGUACCGGUUCGGGUGGGAAGAAAACCGGACCGGCACCUUAUAGGAUAUUCAACUUGGGGAAUACGUCGCCGGUGACGGUGCCGACGUUGGUGAGUAUAUUGGAGAGGCAUUUGAAGGUGAAAGCAAAGAAGAAUGUGGUGGAAAUGCCAGGAAACGGCGACGUUCCGUUUACU